CAGCAGUCGCCGCGGUAAUACGGAGGGUGCAAGCGUUAUCCGGAUUCACUGGGUUUAAAGGGUGCGUAGGCGGGCAGGUAAGUCAGUGGUGAAAUCUUCGAGCUUAACUCGGAAACUGCCGUUGAUACUAUCUGUCUUGAAUAACGUUGAGGUGAGCGGAAUAUGUCAUGUAGCGGUGAAAUGCUUAGAUAUGACAUAGAACACCGAUUGCGAAGGCAGCUCACUAAACGCUCAUUGACGCUGAGGCACGAAAGCGUGGGGAUCAAACAGGAUUAGAUACCCGUGUAGUCCCUGUCUCUUAUAC
rnacentral:rRNA from 1 species